ensembl:lncRNA
AAAUGAUUCCAUAAUUUGGCUACAAUAAGUAUGCAUGUGCAGGAAUCUGAGUUGUGUGUUGACUUUGAUUCAUUUGGGUUUGUUCCAAGUAGGAAACAUAGGAAAUCCUCAGUGAUUGAAGUCCUGAGUGACUGCAUCACAGACAUGGGCGCAGCCACGACAAGGACCAAGGCAUGGGACCCAUGGAAAAGAGCAACAGUCUUCUUUAGGCUGCAUCUUCCAGUGGCACAGCGGAAGGAAACACCUCUCCAGGCAGCCUGUCCCAACACUUGCCGGGCUCGUCUUUCUUUCCUGCCUCCAAAGGAUACUCUUUGUUGCCUGGUAUCCAGGAUCUUUGAAACAUUUUUUAUUUUUUUUAUUUUUGCCAGUUUGUAAAAAUUAUUUCAGAGGGGAAGGUUAAUGAGGUGGCUGAUGGUCAACCCACAUUUUGCAGAAGUGGAAAACAGAACAUCAAGAGUUCAUUUCAUCUUUAUGUAAAUUCUGUGUAGGAAAGUUAAAGAAAUGAAAGCCAAGCAUGGUGGCUCAGGCCUUUAAUCCAUACCCACUCCAAGGUUACACCCACUCCAACAGAGUCACACCUCAACAGUCCCACUCCCUGUGAGAUUCUGUGGGCAAUUACACUAAAACUGCCACAGAUGCUCUUUACUUUUUUCACUUCUAAUUCCCUCAGUAUGUAUGUAUGUGUCUUGUUACUUUUCUGUUGCUGUGAAGAAAGUGUGAAGGCAACUUAAAGAAGAAAAAGGGGUUUACAGUUAACACAGAGAGAGAGAUGACUAGGAAUGGUGUGGCCUUUUGAAGCCUCAAAGCCCAUCCCCAGUGACACAGCUCCUCCAACAAGGCCACACCCCAAAAUCCUUCCCAAACAGUUCUAUCAACUGGGGACCAAGUAUUCAAAUAUAUGAGCCUAUAUGUUGGACCAAAAAAAGGCUCCAAUUCGAGGUCCAUGUAACCUCCUGAGCCUGACUUGAGUUUAAGGCUCCAAUGUGAGGCCCAGUGUAACCGCCUGAGGCGGGCUUGAGUUUGGCGACCUGUCUCUGGCCUGUAAUCUCCAUGUGGGGAUGACUCAGCAAGACUGCCCCCCUGCCUAGCUAUCGGCUAGCUUGGUGGAAUAUUAUUGUUCUUUACUCCCCACAUCACCUUACCCUAUCCUGAUUUCCAUCCCCUACCUUAGCCCUAUAUAAGUUCAUUCUUAUUGGAAUAAAUCGAGAUUCUGCUUCAACAAGUCUCUGGACUCAGUGUGUAUUUUCUCCCUCGUAACAAGUAUGGGGGAGGGUCUGAGUCAUCUGACACUCAUCCGGCUCAGCCCUGGGAAGAGACUGGCUGGACCGCCCUUUCCCCAUCUGUACCUGCUGGAGGAUCAGGGCAUUCUCAUUCAAAUCAUC